rnacentral:rRNA from 1 species
GUCGGGAAUUUUGGGCAAUGGGCGAAAGCCUGACCCAGCAACGCCGCGUGAAGGAUGAAGUAUUUCGGUAUGUAAACUUCGAAAGAAUGGGAAGAAUAAAUGACGGUACCAUUUAUAAGGUCCGGCUAACUACGUGCCAGCAGCCGCGGUAAUACGUAGGGACCAAGCGUUGUUCGGAUUUACUGGGCGUAAAGGGCGCGUAGGCGGCCCUACAAGUCACUUGUGAAAUCUCCGGGCUUAACUCGGAAUGGCCAAGUGAAACUGUAAGGCUAGAGUGCAGAAGGGGCAAUCGGAAUUCUUGGUGUAGCGGUGAAAUGCGUAGAUAUCAAGAGGAACACCUGAGGUGAAGACGGGUUGCUGGGCUGACACUGACGCUGAGGCGCGAAAGCCAGGGGAGCAAACGGGAUUAGAUACCCCAGUAGUCC